rnacentral:lncRNA from 1 species
AUUCUAGGUGCUUUCUCGACACGUCGAAGAAGCCACUCUGAAUGUGGUGGAUGUGGGCCAUGCUGGUUCCCGGCUCAGCUCCAGCGGGUCUCCGGCUGGAGUAAUCAUUGCGUCCAAUCAAUUUUAGUGGGUGCAGAAAAUGUUCACUCCCAAGCAGGUUUUCAGCUGGACUCCCGAGGCCGAAGCCGCUUUCAGCAGGCUGAAGAGCCUGUUCUCGUCGUCGCCCAUCCUCGCGCAACUCGACCCCAGUUGGCAGUUUGUGGUGGAGGUGGAUGCCCCGGAUCCUGGUGGAGGUCCACCGAACCGGCUGUUCGUCCUGGAGGCGGUGCGGUCUGAUGUCCUGCAACGGGCCCACGCCUCAAAGUUGACCUGCCACCCGGGGGUCAAUCACCCACCUGCCGUGGAGUUCCGUGGUCUCAGCGUCCACCGGACUGUCUCCCUUCAUGGCAUCCCUGGGGUACCAGCCUCUGUUAUUUGAGAUCCAGGAGGACGAAGUAGCGGUACCCUCGGUACAGGCCAGCAUGCGCCGUUGCAGGAGGGUGUGGAGGCAAGUCCGUGCUGCACUCCUGCGUCUCAGAAGCUGGCUCCUCGCUUCGUGGGGCCCUCUGAGGUGGAGCGGAUGGGGAAAGCUGCAGCCGAUUCAUCCUUGACGACGGCCUCCUCCGCAACUUCUACCACACCCAGACCUUGUGAACCUUGUGUUUUGAAUAAAGGCACUUUUAGUUCAUUUUUCCCCACUGUGGGUUGCCUGCUUUUGGGUCCUGAGACAACCAGUUCUAACAAAUGACAUAUUUAGUCAUAUUUCUUGUCCUGAUUCUAAUCCUUCUCCAUCUUCUCAUAAUAGAGUAAAUAUGCUGUUUUUUGCCGCUGCUGGCACACGUGGUUAAAAUUUGUUUCUGUGACAACGUCGUCAUCGUAUGUCACCCAGCAGGCAUUCCCAUCCCCUUGGCUUGCAUUUCGAUAAACUCCAUCACAAAUGUAAUGGCCUGUGAAGGAAGGAACUGCUUUGUUAGUGGUCAAACUAGAAGGUUGGUUUUCAACGCAAUACUGACAGCGAAACACUGACCGCUGGUAGUGCAACUCCCCAAAUAGUUGACGAUGCUCUUCAGAGUAUAUUUUGUCUACAGAAAAUAAAAAGAACAAGCCAUUAGCUCCACUCUUUGAGCCAUUUCAGACUGAUGACUGCUUAAAGGUUUAUCAAGGGUUUACCUUCUCACUGCUCUGAUUUGUAUGGAGCAGCAGCUCCCUGGAUAAACAUGUGGCUUUGUGUAUUUUUUGCGCAGCAAAGUAGGACCACUUAAAUCUCAAUAGGUGGAUGAUCAGCACACUAUCGAGAAGAAAAGGGGAGGGAAGAGGAGAUGUAGAGACAGUUAGGGCCUUUAGAAGGCAGCAGAUGUGAGGAUGCUGAGAUGGCUGGUUCUCACUUUGGCAGAGUGAAGAAGGAUCUUUGCUCUGUCGUCUGGGAGGCGCCACAGUGACAUUUGUAAUCCAGCAGUUGCUCCUGCAGAAUCAACAACAGUCGUGAGGUUCAACAGCUCCUCCAUCAUUCACACAUGAACACCAAACAUGUGUCCCUUACUUUCAGGUACAGCUGUAUUCCUUGCAUGAUGGUGUCCUCAGGCGCCACGGACAGGUUCAAACACUCCUCCAUAUUUUCACGUUCAUGGCCACAACUGUAAUUCAAGAGAGGAUUCAAGUAACUAAGGAUUCAACUAAACAAGUUCAACACCUAUGCAGGAGCAGAAGGUUUCCAGGUAUAUUCCCACCUGUGGCACAGCAUGGUGCUCAACAUCUGGAAGCUGAUGUGAGCCUCCACAGGGCAGGUGUAGCUCUGCUGUUUCUCAUUUGCCAAUGACCUGAUCUCUGCAGAGAUGGAGCUCAGCUGUUCCAGGAUGGUGUUCAAAAAUUCGUGGGCAUCCUGCAGACAGACCAAAGUGUCUAGUCCAGAAAAGAUCAGGAUGAUGCUCUUGAAAAUAAAAGAAUGAUUACUUGUUGGGCAUCAUUUCUAAAUUCUGGAUGAUGCAGGGCAAUGGUCCGCAGGAAUUUAAAGAGGGUGGACUUCUCUUGCAUUCUGUUUUUAGUCGCGAAGCCAUUGUUGAUGUCACUGAGCAACCUGGAGAAAGGAGAAAGCAGAUGUUUUUCAUUCAUUGCAUUAAUGCCAUAGAAUAAUGGGGGCACGUGAGCUUGUGUUGUACUUGAAAAGCAGAGCUUUUGGGUGCGAAAGCCACUGUUGACUCUGUUUGUUGAGCUCCUUCACAAAAGGCAUGGGGGUCAGGAGGCUCUGGAGAACAGAGUUCAUAUAGCAGGUCUGGGACAGGUUGGGGAGCCUGAAACACAAGAAAAACUGAGCAAAGUGUUGUUGUUGAUGAUGAUAUGCAAAAUUUCUUACCCAUAACAGGCCAGUUCAUCAGAUGUAAGGGUUCUCCCACUUUCCAUUCUGCUUCUCGAGACCACAUAGUUUAAGGCCUCCAGGAAUCUAUUCUUUGUAGCACUAGGCUGUGACGUCACAGCCAAAACAGCCGCCAGAUGUGAAGAAAGCGAGUCUUCCUCAUUCUUCUCCUCCAGGCUCUGUUAGUUAAAGGCAAAGCAAAAUCAGCUCAAUCUAUUAAAAAUGUACCUGGUGACCUGGGUGCCACUGACACAGGACGAAUAUAUCUCUGGGUCUUCUUCAUCUGUAGACCCCAGACUCUGUUAAGAAUAAAGCAACAUCAGCUCAAUCUAGAAAAACAAAGUCAAAAAUACAUCAAUGUUAAUUAUAGAAAGAGCAUUUUUACAGCUUGUUCGACAUCACUGCUGAAUGUGGAGGAACAGGGGCUGUCCACCAGACACGUGUCCACUUCUCCGGCCAAUGCAGGACACUUUGGUCUCUGUUGGAAGAGUAGACAGGGUCCAUGUGAAACAUCGGGAACUGGUGUUAAAUUUUCUCUAUCACAAGAGAAAAAUGUACCUGAGCCUGGCUGGUGGACUCUUGCCGAGGGCUCUUCAGCCAGCUCCUCCUGUUCGGUGUCACUGACACAGGAAGAAUGUAUCUCUGGGUCUUCUUCAUCUGUAGACCCCAGGCUCCGUUAAGAAUAAAGCAACAUCAGCUCAAUCACGUUAAACAAAGUUAAAAAUAUAUCAAUGUUAAGUUUAGAAGAAGCAUUUUUAUAGCUUGUUCAAUGUCGCUGCUGGAUGUGGAGGAACAGGGACUGUCUACUGGACACGUGUCUUCUCCUCCUUCCCCUGCAGGACACUUUGGGCUCUGUUUGUUGGAAGAGGAGACAGGGUCCAUGUGAAACAUAACUACCUCAGAAUGUCCCACAAACAUUCUCUCUCGGUGGUACCCAUUUUCCAUCAGCCACAGAGAAAUCCAUGAAGAGCCUCAGGAAAAACCUUUUACUGCUCCCUAAAGGGUGCCCCUUCCAUCAGGGAGGCCAACGAUCUGCUGACUUCAGCCCACACGUAAAUCUUUGGAAAAAUCAAGGCAAGAUUACACCAACAUGGUGUCUUGCCCAGGAUUCUGUGGCCAAUGCUAGUAUUACAAUUUCCAAUUUCCACUUCUGAAGGACGUGAGAGGACGGUCAGCACCCACCUUCGGCAUUGGUUGGCUAUACCUCAUAGAUUAAGCAGCAUCUGCCUCUACAGUACAAGCACUAGCUCACACUCCUGAGGAGUUCACGGUGACCAAAGCGAGGUAGGCGAGGGAAUCCAAGGAUCCAUAAAUAUCUUUUUCUGUCAAGGAGGGCCAUGACAUUGCAUCGAAUUCCUCAUUCAGCUUGUCUAUGAUGUCAAAGGAAGAGGAACUCUGGAGCACAUCCUCAGCAGCUGUCCUAAAGCUGCUAUCGCUAGCCCCAGACUGAAAGCCCAAACAAGUCUCCUAGGAACAGCAAAACACUGGCAGCUAAAGGUGGCCCGAGGAAAGCAAGCAUCUCAAUCUGCUCCAUAAGCAAGGCCAUUUAGUAGACCUCUUGCUCUCCCUUACUCAUCAAAUUCCACGUACCUACCGGCAGCAUAAUUUACUUAAUAUUAUGUAUUUCUGUAUGUAUUCUCUAUGAUCUAUGCCUAUUCUCUCCUCUCCUCUCCUCACCCUUCUCCUCUCUUUCUACCCAGCCGGCCAUUAGCAGGAGGGUCCCCCUACAUGAGCCUGGUCCUGCUCAAGGUUUCUUCCUGUUAAAGGGGAGUUUUUCCUUGCCACUUGUUUGGGGUCAGGCCCUGGGAUUCUGUAAAGCGCCUAGAAACAGUUUUGAUUGUAAAAGACGCUAUAUAAAUAAAAAUUGAUUGAUUGAUUGAUUGUAAUUGUAAUUUAAGUUACAGAAGUACACAAACUUGCUGCCAGAUUGUUGUUGCCUUAAAUACGAAUUUCCGGCACUCCUUCCCGGGCUGAUUUCCCAAUAAUGACCUUUAGUCUGACUAUGUUUGUCUGCUCCCUGCCUGCUUCCAUUGUGCUUUGAGCCCCUCCUUGGACUGUUUAUAACCCGUCGCAGGUGUCACCUACGUUUUGUUGAGUGGUCAAAGUGGACGUUUUGGGACAAAAUGACACAUCGUCCAUCUGUGGGUCAACUUUAAAUUUCUGUCCCUUCUCUCCACCUCAGCCAGCUGCUCUUCAUACAUUCACAAGGCCAACCCAAGACUUGGAAACCCUUCAACUCAGCAAGGUUAGCCUUCCCAAUACACUGCCACGGAGGAACUAUUAACAAGUCCGGUUUUUCUUAUGCACUUGAAGAAACCCAGUAAGGUAGUUGACUUUUUCCUUUAAAAGACUAAAGUAUCAAAAUAUCUUGUAAGAUUGGAGUAAAAGCUGAAUUGUACCUUCAGUGUUUGUUUCAUCCAAUAUUU